rnacentral:lncRNA from 1 species
GGUUCUGAUUCUACUUCCUCAACAAGCUACAGCAUGGCAGUAUCUGCCACCACUUGUUUUGGUCCAAGGGCAGAAAUCAGCAUCCUGGAAACCAAUCAGUACUUGCGCUCUGAACUGGAAAAGUGCAAACAGAACUUCCAAGACCUCACAGAGAAAUUCCUGACAUCCAAAGCUACUGCCUACUCCCUGACCAAUCACCUGCAGAAAUAUAGAUACAUGAUCCCUUAAUUCAGGCUCAGGCUGAAGAACUGACCCACUUACGACAGAAGACACAGGAAGGGAGAGGUGUCUGCUACCUUUUUACCCAGCAUGUGAAGAACACAGUCAAGUCUUUUGAGGGCCUUCUCAGGAACACUGGCAUUGCCUACUACCAGAGACAGAGAUUCUGUGAGCAAAUGGUACAAGGAAGCCAGCUGACAGAGAUCCUUGUCAGAAAACUUGUCACAGAAUCUUGCUCUCUUACCCAAGCUGGAGUGCAGUGACACGGUCUUGGCUGACUGCAAUCUGUGCCUCCUGGGCUCAAGCAAUCUUCCCACCUCAGCCUCCCAAGUAGCUGGGACUACAGAAUCACCCCCAAUUCUCACCAACAAACUGAGAAGAAAAAAAAAAGAAUUACCCCCAAGAACAUCUGAGGAAGCACAACAGGGACAGACUUGAAGGCACCUGGGCAGUCCUCUGGUUUUGGAGUAGAGAAAAUCACAACGGUAAGAAAAAUGAAGACAGGCAAAAGCCACUGGCUCCUAGCAUGCACCUCUAAACUCUACAGGCACAUCAUAGAUUCCAUCGUCCAGCUGUAUAAUGAAAACAGAGUUCUCAGAGAACACCGGAGACUCCCCCGACUUGCCUGAAUCAAGUUUCUAGAGGUAACAACUGAUGUUGGAACUAUGAAAAGCUCUUCUCUACUUUUAACAAAGCUUAGUCACAAACAGUUCCCCAGUUGACGAGAACAACUAAAACAACAGAACAAUUGAAAGUCCAAAUUUGAAAGCUCCAUCUCCGAGAAGCAAAUUUUACAGCCACUCCAGAUUUGUAUUCCAAAUGGAUAGUUUGAUUAUAAAAAUCACAUCCCUUCAGCCUGCAAAUGUGAUAACUGCCCAAGAGACAGUGAUGCCUACAUCCAUAGAUAAUCCCCUUUCCCCCAACCUAUAUAUAACUGGAGUCAACAGCAGCUGGAGGAAAAUGGCAAGGACUUGUAAUCAAGAUUAAGUUAGAAAAACACUGCUGUAGACUGUUUAUCAGCUCUUCAGCAUAUGUCCGUUUUCCUUGAAGGAUGAGCGUUUAGAAACCUCUGACAAUAAAGUUUAUUUUACACACAUUCUCUUGCCUAUCAUUUUUUUUGUACAAAUCACAAUUAUAAAACUUUCUUGCUCCAGCUAAAAGCAGGAAACUCAGUCACAAAUGUGUUCACUACAUGUAUACCACAGAAUGAUAGCAACCAGUCUGAUUGCAUCACUUGAUUCCAAAAUUAAAUGUUAGCACUCAGUAGUGAAACUACAUGUAUCUCCAACUCUGGAAGCCACAGGCAAGAUACUCCUGUUUCCUGCAGGGAAACAGAUCUAUAAGCAGGGCAGCAGUCUCACACAUGUACACUCCUGUGAAAUCCAAGGAAAUAAUGAUAGUGACACAGGGCAGGCAAGCCCCAAAACUGGUUUGUAGCGUGGGA